UCUCUUCUGCUGUUCCUGUCUCCAGAGACCUGUCUCCCUCCUCCCCUCUCCUGUUUUUCCAUUUCCUUUCCCCUAAUAAGAAAUCCCUUUCCGCGAGCUCUGUCACAUGGUGUCUUUCUCUCUUGCAUCGCUUUUUGAAUUACAAUAGUUAAUAAUCUGGGCGAACUCCAAUCACCCUUAUAACAACCUGAUGGAAAAUAGAGACCAAAGGUCAUAAAGCAGCCUGUAUUGUGAUGCACGAGGUAGAAAUAAGGUGAGCAAAGAGAGUAACAUCUCAACUGAGGGCACAGGUGGGUCUAAACAUCUCCCCACACAGUGCUCCAAGGCCUGUAUGUCCUUGUGUCCACAGGACCUUAAUCCAAUGGCUGGCAUCGGAUAGGAGCUGGAGAGAUACUUGCAGCAUUGAUGCAGAUGUGCACAGAACAUCUGCCUUGUGAUAGGCUCCAUGCUGAGCGUGGAGCUUCAGACAUGACAGAGGCAUAUGUUGGCCCCUGAGGACAGUCUUACGGUAAUGAAAGACAGAUGAAGCUUUGGCUGGGCUGCCAUCCAACCCACUCAAGCCCCCAGCUGGAAGCAGGUGACAGAGCAAGCAAGCAGGGCUGCAUGCCAUCCUACCAGCGCUCUGGAGAACAUGCACAGCUUCUGACCUCUUGGCAGCUGAGGAUCUUUACCUGCCUAUCACCAUACAUGGUCAUCCAUUUGUUCUUCGUUCAUAGACACAAACUUCUCUGUUCCUGCUGUGCACAUUCAGGUGCUACGUCUUGGUUACUUUUCUAUUGCUAAUAUACCGUGGCCAAGGUAACUUAAAGCAUAGUUACAGAGGUUGGAAUCCGCGGUCAUUAUGGCAGGGGGUAUGGCAGCAGGCAGAAGGCAUGGUUGAGAGCUCACAUCUUGUGACAACCAUGAGGCAAAGAGAGCUAACUGGAAUGGUGCCGGUUUCCAAAGCCUCAAAAUCCACUCCUAGUGACAUGCCUCCUCCAAUAAGGUCACACCUCCUAAUUCCUCUCAUGCAAGUUCUGCCCACUGGGAAUCAAUCAUGUAAACACACUUGCCUAAGAGGACCAUUCCCAUUCAACCCACCACACUCUGGGACCUAUGAGAUCAUGCCACUUGUUCAGCAGCUAUUAGGAAGCAAUCCAUUGCUUACGUUUAAAUUUUUUCAUUCCUUUAUUUGACACAGCUUUUAUUCCUUCUGCUGUAGUUACCAAAACACUUUUUUUUUGAGCCAAUAAUAACUCAAAAAUAAGACAUGUUUUCAUCUACCAGGGGACGGAGGAGCUUCUUGCUUCCCCUCACUUUCUAAUGCGAUAGCUCAGAUUCCGUGGAGGUCAGAGGAAGGUUUCAGAUAGGCAUUUUCAGGAGUGGAUGAUGGGAGAUGUCAUUCUGUAAAUCUGUCUCUCUUAUUGGUUGUUGAAUAAAGCACUGUUGACUGAUAGGUUAACAAUGCAGGUGAAACUAGGGAUCUAGGAGGAUUCUGGGAAUUGCAGUGAAGAGGCUGGUCACCAUGUGACUCCCAGGAGGAAAGGACAUGCCAGGCAUGUGUCCUAGUAAAGAUAAGUUCUUGUGAAAUAUAUAUGAGUAAUUAUGGGUUAAUAAUCAAGUCAGACCUAGCCGAUAAGAAACCAAGCAAACAGCCAAGAGCUUCAUAAUUAAUAUGGCGACUUGUGUGUUAUUUGGAGGUUCAGACAGCUUGGCGGGGCCAAGGCAGCUGGCCGGAAGUAUACAUGAUACAAGUGGAGCUAUGAAGCUGUUCUAGGAGACAGCUUUUACCCUUAGAGUCCAAAACUGUCAGCCAGCGACCCUUUGAGAGGACAUAUGACCCCUGCAGCACACCCUUGAACCUUAGCUUUUCGUCCUUGGUGAUCAGGAGGAAGAAAGCCAUGAUGCAUUGCUUUUCUUUUUCUGUGUGUCAUACUUUAUAAUGAGUGCUUCCAAAUAAAUGAUCCCUUUCAAUCUUCA